rnacentral:lncRNA from 1 species
CAAAUUUUCAAUAAAUUACAAAUCAGCCACAAAUAUAGACAUCCAACCUCUUCCACCCCAUAGAACAUCUUCCACCCAACCGUAGUCUGGUAAUUGUAAGUUUCCAAUUUUCCAUUUUCCAUAUCAUAAAAUAGUUUGUGUAAAUCGUUUCACUUGAAGCCAAUAAAUACAGAAAAAUAAAGCCAUGGAAGCAACAUCAUUGCUAAAUACAUUCGCCACUAUUAAAAGACUACAAUCUAAAGGAAUUUCCGUAAAAACUGUAAUGCCCGUGUUGAAUCCAAAGAUUCAUUUGGGCUCCUGUUUUCAAAAGCAUUGUUGCACAAGUAUUAGGUGAAAUUACAACAAAUACAUGGGUUUUGUAGCUACUAGAACUCCAAAUAAUGAAAUUGAAAAGGUUGAGGACGUGCAAGAGGAAAAGGGGUUCAGUUCUAGUAUCAGUGGUGUGGAUUGGAAGGAAAAGUUUCUUGGGGAGAUAGACCAAUAUGCGGAUUGGGAAGUGGACGGUAGAAGAGAGAGGCCUUGAUUAGAGGAAAGAGGAACCUCCAUGAAAUGAAGAUGUUGGAGCUGCCCAUUUCUUGAAAGGUAGUAAAAAAAUUGGAACUUUCCGAUGCUUGCUAUCUGGAGGCGCCUCCUUCCACACCUUUGUUCUUUCCAAGCUAACUUCUCUUUGCUCUUUCAAUUUCUUCAACACUAUCGCAUUAAACCCACAAAACAACAAUUAGGAACCAAAAUAUGUAAUAUAAAAAUUUAUAGUAAAAUAAAGUCCAUUUGAUUUUGGUAGGUGAGUGUUGUUAAUGGCUUGGUUUGGGGAUUGGGAAGUGGACGGUAGAAG